CGCCUACGGGAGGCAGCAGUGGGGGAUAUUGCACAAUGGGGGGAACCCUGAUGCAGCGACGCCGCGUGGGUGAGGAAGCGUUUCGGCGCGUAAAGCCCUGUCAGCAGGGAAGAAGAUGACGGUACCUGACCAAGAAGCCCCGGCUAACUACGUGCCAGCAGCCGCGGUAAUACGUAGGGGGCAAGCGUUAUCCGGAUUUACUGGGUGUAAAGGGGGCGCAGACGGCGAUGCAAGCCAGGAGUGAAAGCCCGGGGCCCAACCCCGGGACUGCUCUUGGAACUGCGCGGCUGGAGUGCAGGAGGGGG
rnacentral:rRNA from 1 species